AUACUUACCUGGGUCGUGCAUUGGGUAUCAAGAAUCCCUGAUGCACAGUGAGGCCGAUUGUCAUUGCACUGCGACGAUUAGCCUUGCUGCGAACAUCUUCGGAUGUCUCGAGAUCAUAAUUUUUGUUUGGGGGGAAUAAGUGGUUCGCCGCGUGUUCCCCU
rfam:Mucor circinelloides f. circinelloides 1006PhL unplaced genomic scaffold supercont1.7, whole genome shotgun sequence.